GUGAGUGUCUGUGAGCGAGAAAGUCAGAAACAGAAAUGGAGUGAAAGGACAGGGUGGAGGGCCCAGCCUGGGUCCCUGGGUGGAGCUUUGGGCCUCUGAGCCUCAGAGAAAGGGCAGGGCCUGAGCUGCACUGCCCUCCCCACAGGGAGGCAGGAAUCAAAGCAUGUGUGUAUUGGAGGUGGGAGAUGGGAACAUUCUUUUUUUUUUUUAGGAAGAUUAGCCCUGAGCUAACUGCUGCCAAUCCCCCUCUUUUUGCUGAGGAAGACUGGCCCUGAGCUAACAGCCGUGCCCAUCUGCCUCUACUUUAUAUGUGGGACUCCUACCACAGCAUGGCGUGCCAAGCGGUGCCAUGUUGGCACCCAGGAUCCGAACCGGCGAACCCUGGGCCACUGAAGCAGAAUGUGCGCACUCAACUGCUGCGCCACCGGGCCGGCCCUGGGAGCAUUCUUUAUGGUGGGAGUGCUGGCCAGGUGGGGUCGUCCCUGGCCCUGGGGGCCCUGGUUCAUCUCCUUCCGGUGGUGACCUCAGGACAAGAAGAGAGUACGAGAAGGACGGUCAUGAGAUUUGAACGAGAUAUGAGCGUACAAGGAAGUACUUUGUAAGAAUGAGACAGCAAACAAGUUAAAGUACAGACGGAAAGAUACAGAGAGUGAAGAAGUCAAAGAGAAAAGCUACGGUGCUCUGGUUUCCAUUCACUUCAGUGCAGUUCCUUUCAACACAGUUGGUUGUAAUUCAGACUCGGCCACGAGACCAAACUGUGUGAACAAAUGGUGCUGAUGGUCCAGGGGCCGGGACGGAAUCCCCCCAGACAGCCUGGCCAAAGGGUGCAGUCUCCUACUUCCCAGGACUGCUUGAGGGAGACAGGACAAGCAUCCCCGUUAUACAGAAGAAGAAACUGAAGUCAAGGGAAGUCAGAGAAGCAGGGAGAGAAAGAAGUCGAUGCCAACAGGAGGCGGAGAGGACAGGCUGAGCGAGUGUCCCUCGAAGGACCAUGUGCCUGCCCUUCGUGCGUGGCUUCGUGACUCAGUUCUUCCUCUGAUUGUAGGAGAGUUCCUGAAUCCUUGAAUAAACUCCUCUUUUUCUAAAACUAGUUUGAGUUUCCAUCACUAGCAAAUGAAAAUUGCUGACCAAAUGCAUCAUCACAGCUUCCCUACCCAUCAUU
rnacentral:lncRNA from 1 species